rnacentral:lncRNA from 1 species
UGGUGCAUAUGGAUAACAAAAAAAAUCUAAACUGACUAACAAAAUCCCUCGUAACAAAUCUAACAGACUAAGAAAUCUUAAUAACAAAUCUAACUAACUAACAAUUUGAUCUUAUCUUCAACAAUUACUCCUUCGCCGCUCCCCUGCCUUCUCGUGUCAGACACUUCUUCUUCCUCUCUACUUCACUCGACGUCUUCCGCAACGACCACAAUUUAUGAGCGAGAUCUCGUACGAGAUACGUCUUCAUCGGUAAACCCUCGCUCCUCUUGCCGUCUUCAUCGGUACUCCUCUCAUUAUCUCUCUCACCUGCUGCUAUGAAUGCGAUGGAUCUCGUCCGAGAUCCAUCCUAACCCCUAAUUUCUCUGUCAAAC